GACGAACGCUGGCGGCGCGCCUAACACAUGCGAGUCGAGCGGGGAUUUAAGUGGAAGUUCUUCGGAAUGGAGAUUUAAAUUCUAGCGGCGGACGGGUGAGUAACGCGUGAACAAUCUGUCCCGGACAGGGGGAUAACACUUGGAAACAGGUGCUAAUACCGCAUAAGACCACGGCCUCGCAUGGGGCUGAGGUAAAAGGAGCAAUCCGGUUCGGGGUGAGUUCGCGUCCGAUUAGCUAGUUGGUGAGGUAACGGCCCACCAAGGCGACGAUCGGUAGCCGGCCUGAGAGGGUGAACGGCCACAUUGGAACUGAGAGACGGUCCAAACUCCUACGGGAGGCAGCAGUGGGGAAUAUUGGGCAAUGGGCGAAGGCCUGACCCAGCAACGCCGCGUGAGGGAAGAAGGUUUUCGGAUUGUAAACCUCUGUCCUAUGGGACGAAGGAAGUGACGGUACCAUAGGAGGAAGCCCCGGCUAACUACGUG
rnacentral:rRNA from 1 species